rnacentral:lncRNA from 1 species
CAGCUCCCGCAUACCUCCACCUGCCAUAUUGGCCUGCCAUGGUAGGCCAGGGAGAGAGAAAAAGGAAGAAAAGAGAAGAGAAAAGAAAAAUGUGUUGCCUACUGCCCCUGCCUUUAUUGGGAUGGACAGCUGGAGUAAACAUCAUCCAGAAAGACUGGGACUCUGGGUCCUCUCAAACCCAGCACACCCGCACCACGAAUACCAGCCCCCAGCAAGAAACCUCUAAGCACUUUGGGCCAAAGCGGUUUCAGUUUGAAACCAUGAUGAAUUUAACAUAAAUCAAGAAAAGCAACAGAAGCAACUUUUCCCAUCUGGAAUGGAGUACAGCCUUCUAUUUUAUGCUAUUUGUCUACCCUGUCACUAACUGCAGAGAAAACGUUCUAAAAACUGCCCUUUGUAGCCUCAAGCCAUUUCCCUAGGGCUGUUUGACUUAAAAAAAAAAAA